rnacentral:rRNA from 1 species
GAUGAACGCUGGCGGCGUGCCUAAUACAUGCAAGUCGAGUGAACGGACGAGAAGCUUGCUUCUCUGAUGUUAGCGGCGGACGGGUGAGUAACACGUGGAUAACCUACCUAUAAGACUGGGAUAACUUCGGGAAACCGGAGCUAAUACCGGAUAAUAUUUUGAACCGCAUGGUUCAAAAGUGAAAGACGGUCUUGCUGUCACUUAUAGAUGGAUCCGCGCUGCAUUAGCUAGUUGGUAAGGUAACGGCUUACCAAGGCAACGAUGCAUAGCCGACCUGAGAGGGUGAUCGGCCACACUGGAACUGAGACACGGUCCAGACUCCUACGGGAGGCAGCAGUAGGGAAUCUUCCGCAAAGGGCGAAAGCCUGACGGAGCAACGCCGCGUGAGUGAUGAAGGUCUUCGGAUCGUAAAACUCUGUUAUUAGGGAAGAACAUAUGUGUAAGUAACUGUGCACAUCUUGACGGUACCUAAUCAGAAAGCCACGGCUAACUACGUG